GGGAACCCAAAUGUAAUGACAGGUAGUCCUUUCAACUGUGACUUGCGAGCAGGAGCCAAUGUUUCAGAGGAAAGGGGCUUCAGUCACAUGUCUGCUUCUUCCUCAGCCCCAGACGGUGUUGCAGAGCACAUUAAAACCUUAAAAGGUUCUUCUCUUCCUUCUCUUUUUUCUUGUCAACCCUGCAGCGAGAAUAAACAGCCAUCCCUUUCGGCACGCAUUCAUCUGGUCUUCUCACUGGGUUUGGAAGCAAUUGAUAAUGACCAGAGGAUCGUGUGGCGCUCGGUGCGCUCAUGUGUGUUUUGUUUGUGUUUUGUUUUGUUUUUAGUGAUGAAUUUCACCCAUCAAAUCCACAACAGUGGUUGACCAAUGAGUUCUGUGAAAGCGUAGCCUGUGGUGUUUUUCUUUAAUAAGUCCAGAGGUGAGGCAAAGCAAGCACACCAUCAGUCAUCCUGUCAGGACCUUACCCUGUGAUUAGCCAAGUAUAUUGGUGGAAAUAUUUAUCCUGCCUUACAAUACAAACCAGAGUUAUCCCUCAUAAAACAUUUAUUUUAGUCAGCUAAAAAAGUUUCUGGCCUCUUGUUCAUUUCUCAAAUAAGCUUAAGUGUUUAAUAUAAUUAAUUGUAUUGUAUGAGGAAUGAAUGUGUGUAUUGUGGCGGACCAGGGGAACGUCCAAUCAGCACCUGGCAGGGGGGCACACCUACAGCCCAUCAGCCAGAUCAGAAGGGACAUACAUGAAGAGGGCUGAGACGCAGGAGGAUUCAUGGAACAGCGGUUUGGGGGGAACCAACGGAGGAGAAGAGAGCGAAGCCUGGGAUCUCUCGAAGGGCCUGAGAGGAGUCCCUUUGAACCCAGGGAGGGAACAUGGUAGCUGGCGGGCCGCCACUCAGAGAGUCGAUCAGUGUUUGGCUCACAGGGGAGAGAAGGGAUAGAGUAUGCAAGGACCCUGCUUGCAGCUUCAUUACAACAUUGUAAUAAAUAACCCAUCGCAAGUGUUUGCAAAUACUGUAACCAUAGUUGCAUGAACUGGAAUCAAUGGGUGCCUGCAACUUAAAGAAGGAAGUCAAUCUAAAGUAUUCAAUGCUUUGGAAAAAGGGGACAGAGUAUGAUAUGGCCCCCAGCACAACCAAGUGGAGGACUUCCUCAGUGUGCCACAUAAGACAGCCUGCACCCUCCACAGAGCUCGGCUGCAGGAUUGAAGUUGAGAAGCUCUCAGGCCAUCCAGAAGUUGGGUCUGCAGAAGGAAAGAAGCCUUCAGCUCGUGAUCUAUUAAUGCUGGACUAGGUCACCGUGAUGGCGGUGAUGGUGGUGUGCUCACACAUCCACGGUCUCCCCGACGAGCAGGAAAUGGCUGUGGGGCUGACGCUGGAGGAAUGAGGCACACAACGAGGUGCAGGAUUUGUGUUGGGUCACGAGGCUCUUGUGAUGCUCCCCGCUGUCGAACAGUUGUUCCUUAAACGCAAGCAACUGAAGAACUGGCACCUAAAAUAAAGAGCAAAGCAGAAAUAUCAACCAUCUCUGCCAAAAACCACAGUGGACAGAGGAGUUAUAUUUGGGAGCUUUCCUCUGAACUACGACAGUGAGAGAAACACGUUGCAGGUUCUGUUUGUGUCUUUCUGUGUGUUUGUGUGUGUGUGUGUGUAGAGGCACACAGGAAUCCAUCUGGAGGAGGGUGGGAGACUCAGCAAAUUGAGGUCAGGAGACUUAAAGCUGAGCUUGAUGAGCAGAGGACUGAAGGUUCAGGUAUGCACAGAGACCGACGUCACUGAGCAAAUCUACAAACCAUUGUUGUGCAUUUUCCAAUUUUUCCAUUUGGUUUUCCAUUUAUUGAUAUAAUGCAUCUACAGGUGCGGUUGUAGAGGUCACCAGCUUGCUUUAUUUCACAAUCAUAUGUGAUGCUGGGUGGUCAGUGCUGCAAGCGAUCGGAAACUUCAAACCAGAGUUGGUCCAUUAAAGCCAUACUUUUCAUCUCCAACUCUCCCCGUGCGAGCCGUGUGCCUUCGUGUGCUCUGCGUCAGAGACCGAGUCGGUGACAAAGCAGUGAGCUUCCAGGCGGAGCAGAAGUGUUUCUGGAGUGGCUCGUCCGUAACACGGGUCAAUACAAACACUCACCAGCGCAGCGCAGACAGUUUCACUGAAAAGCAAAGCUGCUGCAUAACUCCCAGGAUUUUAUCGGCUGUCAUGUUGAUUUAGCUUGUUCGGGGAUUAGCAUGGGCCUCGCUGUGUUUGUGUGACUAAUAGUCUGUGUUUUCUUGCCUGUGAAAUCCGCAUCCUGAGAGCCCUGAACACCCUGCACAUCCGCGUUUGAAGUGUGCCGCACCCCCCCGGGGUCGGGCCUCCGGGUGCUGCUGCUAAUACAGCCCCAGCACACAUUGUCUCUCUGUCUCCCUCCUCCUCAGACAGCCAUGUUUACGCCCUCCUCUCCUCCUGCACCCAGGAUGACCUCCACUGCAAUCUGCUCAACUCUGGCUGGUUAGAGUCAUGCCCGCCUGUGUGGCCCGGCCCCGACUGAUGGCAAAAUCUUGUCGACACAUUUGUGCGAUUAGCGGGGAGAUGUUGAGGCCGGCACAGGGAGCUGGUGACCAGGAGACGGGUACCGUAGAGGUCCCUCCGCUCCAGCAACCCUUUCAUUCAACUGACCCAAGAGCCCUUUCUCCUCUGACCAGGUGGACAACGUCGAAGGUGUUGAUGUUCAAGGAGACCACACAGGACACUUAAUAUGUCACUCAAGCAUCACCAUGGAAAGUUUGUGUUUGGUAUAUAUAUUUAGUUUUGUGCAGCUUGAGCGAGGGUUAUUUGUUUGUGGAAUUGUGUCUCACGGCAAAGUCGUAUGAUUUGUCUCAGGCGAUAGCACCUUGCCUCAAAGUAAGCCAGAUUUGUGUUACCUGCAACAUUUCUCUCUCGAAUAUCCUCUCAGAUUGAAAGCAGAGAAACGGGGCUGAUUGAAUGGAUGCGUUUUGGUGGUGGAAGGACAGAGCGGAGCACGGGGGCCCAAGAUGUGAACCCAAUCUGCUAUGUGUUGACUGUACUGAUUAGGGGCUUGUGCUGGGAAGAGCCUUUUUAUCCCCUCAUUCCUUCUGUUUACUUUGAACCCCACCACCCUUCUCCACCCAGGCACCACUGCAACCAGAGGGCCCUCCCCACUCUGCUAUUCUUAGCUUAGCCACAUCACCUGCACCACCGGAGGCACAUGUGCUCCUUUGUAUGCCAAACUAGUCCAAGCGAAAACAUGACGGCUUAACAAGGGCCAGAAGAGGUUUGUUAAUCCAUUAGGGAAAAGGGAAUGAGCGGUGUGAUUGUGAAUAAAAUGAGAUAUGUGACAUUUCUCAGUAUUUGCUGGAUUUCACGGUGUUCUGACAGCUCUUAGUAUGUGUAUAUUUGAAGAGACCAGUGGAUGCAGACUCAGCCCGUCAAGGGGCAGCCGGGUGACUUGCUGGAGCAACAUCCAGCUAAUGUUUUGGGAGGCUGGAACGCCUGCAGGGAGCCAGAAGUACAGAAGUGGCCUGAAAGCAGAACAGUUAUCCAGGGAAUAAUAAUAAAUAGAUAAAUAAGAGGAUGGAAUGGCAUGAGAGAAGCUAUGGAAAUAGCGCGUCUAUUCUCAAGCAGCGCGUUUGUUUAUUUAUGGUGUCUGAAGGCCUGGUCAUGAUGCCGAUUGGGGGCCGGGGGACCACAAGCGCAGGCUUUCCCUCUCAGAGCGCAGCUCCCCAGCUUUCAUUAAGUGUCAUUACCAGUACUUUGAGAAAGCUGGCCGGGCUGAGACCCGACAUCCCCCCUGCAGAUAGUUGGCCUUGCAUAUGGAUGGAUUUCUGAUCCCUCUUAUCCACCACUGAGGAGGGGGAAUUAGGCAAGCGAGAAGGAGAGCGAGGGAGGGGAGGGAGGGGGGGGGUGCGCUUUAAAGGGUGCAUCCAUAUCUGACUUAAAUGCCAAACAUGGAGCUAUUACUUCAAUUGAGGGACAGUGUUCAUGCUUGGUUUGUUUUCAUAUGUCACUCAGGUUAUCAACAUUGUGAGUGUUUCACUUGAAGAUGUGCCUUUUUAUGAACGGGUCAUGCACACCCAUGACUAUACGACCGAAUACAUUUAACGCCCCUGUGGAGGACUGUGUUGGGCCACUUUUCCAACAUACUGCACUACCAUUUUAACAUGUGCAUUUUUGAACAGCAUGGUGUUCAUUAGCAAAUUGGUCUUCCUGUUGUGCUGAAGAGAAUGAAAUAUUCAUUUUGUGUGCUUUUCUGAGCAGAAGUUAUCUAGAUUCAGUGUAAAUGGUACUCUGGAUUAGAUUUUCACAGCAGAUUGCUGUUAUUAAGGGGGAAAAAGCCAACCCAUUUGUGCAGUCAUCUUCUAGGGAGGCAAUCUAUUUCUCUUUCACGCAGUAAGAGUGCUGGACCCGGCUCUUAAUGCACUGAAGCAAAAGUGCCUCAGUCCGCAACCUUUCACGCCUUCAGCUCUCCUUUAUGUGAUUGAAUAGUUAAUAACUAUGAGUCGUCUUUGAAAGCUAUGGGCCGUUGGCCCUUCGGAGGCACUUUUCUUCUUUUUGUCUGUUUGGCUGAUGUACCUGCCCAUUGCCCUGUCUGUCUGCACGUCUUGCUCCAGAUGCCAGGUCCACUGUCCACCUCCUCUCCACCAUUCCCCUCUUACUUCUGUCUUUUUCUCGCCUAACUUGCCACUUGGUUGUCUGGCUGGGUCUGAACAUGAACACUUUGAGGGCUUGGGGGAUCAGCUUUUUCAUGUCUUAUUUCCUCUUUCUCUUCCCGUACACAUUCAACAGACGCACACACACACACACACACACACACACACACACACACACACACACACACAGGCGCGCUCACACAGCUCAUUAGCCCAUCCCAAGCUCACAGCUCUGGCAGAAUGUGACCCAGCCUAAUUGUGUACCAUGCUCAUUUGUUUUCCCUGCAUGAUGUGACGAUUGCUUAUUUAUUCUCCUCAGGGCUCCCAUCUCACAUUAAAAUGAUUGACUCAUUUCAUUCACUGCACAUUUUCAAGUUUUAUUUGAUAAGCUCAUUUCCCUUGGCGUUCAUAUACCUCCUUUUCCAUUGCUUAAAAGUUAUUAUGUUGCAGAGGCACACAUUAUUAUUCAUACUCUGGAUUGUUUCUUUUGGCUAAUUAUCUGUGUAAGAAAAUAGUUUUUUGCACGCGUGAGUCUGUUUAUUCCGGUGGAAUUGAGCAGCACAAAAGAGCAGACAUUAACGAUGCUGUUGGAAUUGCUGAAAAGCCAAUUGUGUACACAAAGCUGGCAGACGCGGUCAACAAGAAGCUUAAGAGGGAUUGGGACACUGGAAGCUUGGCCAGAAUAAAACGGGAAAGGAUUUGCAUUCUGUUAGAAU